GGCUCGGGAAACAGUUAUAGCGCUUCGUCCCCUUACUUCUACUUCGCACCAAAACCUUGUGCAUCCACAUUGAAGCCUGUCUAUCCUAACAGUGAUGGCGAACGUUUCCGGCCUCUUCAUGCUGGUCGCUUCUGGGAUUGCUGCUCAGCUCCUGGCUGACCCGGCGGGUGCCAUUGGAUUGCCGUUGAUGAUGCUGUGUAUCCUACGGGGUCGUGCGGACGUUCCGACAACUGAAGGCGCUUGAGGCGAGCACGUGAAGGAACCGACGCGCAUACUGGGAACAAACGCAAUGUUCUUGUUGGAGGCUUAGUAGAACGAGAACCAUAUAAAAUGCACGCCAUGAUGUAAGACUUCGGCCUUCGCUAUGAAUGAUAAAAAAACAGUUUAGGAAUAAAUUUGU